rnacentral:rRNA from 1 species
UACGUAGGGUGCAAGCGUUAUCCGGAAUUAUUGGGCGUAAAGAGCUCGUAGGCGGUUUGUCGCGUCUGCUGUGAAAACUGGAGGCUCAACCUCCAGCUUGCAGUGGGUACGGGCAAACUAGAGUGCGGUAGGGGAGAUUGGAAUUCCUGGUGUAGCGGUGGAAUGCGCAGAUAUCAGGAAGAACACCUAUGGCGAAGGCAGCUCUCUGGGACGGUACUGACGCUGAGACGCGAAAGCGUGGGGAGCGAACAGG